UUUGGACUGACCAGACAGGACAGAAUUAUUUAGUAUUUGGAGAAACAAGUUCAGAUCAGAGAGAAAUAGUAGAAGUUUAAUUUAAAGGUUUCCCCAGUUGUUAUGGAAUAUAUCAACACAAUGCCUACGUGUAAUUCAUAUGGGUGUGUCUUGUGUCUUAUGUUUAAUAAAAGAUGAUGCCCUAACCCGUAGCUGGUGUUGUGAACUUUGUUGAACCUA